rnacentral:rRNA from 1 species
AAACCGGACGUCGCCUGUUUNAACAAAAACAUUUCUUACUGCAUUUAUUGUAAGUAACACCUGCUCAAUGAAUUUUAAAUAGCUGCGGAAAUUUAACCGUGCUAAGGUAGCAUAAUCAUUAGCCUCUUAAUUAGAGACUCGUAUGAACGGUGAAACAUUUCAAUUACUUUAUUAAUUAACUUUAUCAAAUUUAAACCAAGAAUAAAAAUGUUCUUAUAAAUUAAUUAGACGACAAGACCCUUUUGAACUUUACUAUUGUUUAGCUGGGGUAGCUAUAAAAUAUUAAUCUUCUUAACUUUAUUUAUAUAAAUGACCCAAUUCAAUUGAUUAUUUGAACAAGUUACCAUAGGGAUAACAGCGUAAUAUUUUUUAAAAGUUCUUAUUUAAAAAAAUGAUUGCGACCUCGAUGUUGAAUUAAUGUAACUUUAUUGAUGAAGUAAUCAUAAAAGUUGGUCUGUUCGACCAUUAAAACAUUACGUGAUCUGAGUUCAAACCGGACGUCGCCUGUUUAACAAAAACAU